rnacentral:rRNA from 1 species
UACAGAGGUCCCGAGCGUUGUUCGGAUUCAUUGGGCGUAAAGGGUGCGUAGGCGGCGGGGUUAGUUUGAUGUGAAAUCCCGGGGCUCAACCCUGGAAUUGCAUUGAAUACUACCUUGCUAGAGUACCGGAGAGGAAACUGGAAUUUACGGUGUAGCAGUGAAAUGCGUAGAGAUCGUAAGGAAGACCAGUGGCGAAGGCGAGUCUCUGGACAUUUCCUGACGCUGAGGCACGAAAGCCAGGGGAGCAAACGGG